AUUGAACGCUGGCGGCAGGCUUAACACAUGCAAGUCGAGCGGAGAGGGGUAGCUUGCUACUGAUCUUAGCGGCGGACGGGUGAGUAAUGCUUAGGAAUCUGCCUAUUAGUGGGGGACAACAUUUCGAAAGGAAUGCUAGUACCGCAUACGUCCUACGGGAGAAAGCAGGGGAUCUUCGGACCUUGCGCUAAUAGAUGAGCCUAAGUCGGAUUAGCUAGUUGGUGGGGUAAAGGCCUACCAAGGCGACGAUCUGUAGCGGGUCUGAGAGGAUGAUCCGCCACACUGGGACUGAGACACGGCCCAGACUCCUACGGGAGGCAGCAGUGGGGAAUAUUGGACAAUGGGCGCAAGCCUGAUCCAGCCAUGCCGCGUGUGUGAAGAAGGCCUUAUGGUUGUAAAGCACUUUAAGCGAGGAGGAGGCUACUUUAGUUAAUACCUAGAGAUAGUGGACGUUACUCGCAGAAUAAGCACCGGCUAACUCUGUGCCAGCAGCCGCAGUAAAAC
rnacentral:rRNA from 1 species